AUACUUUUCUCGACCUUUUGACUAUGAUGAAAUGUAAUAUCUGUUCUUAUUAAUUUAAUAUCUGAUAUAUGGGCUAUUGGUCCAUUAUAAUAUUAAAUUAAUUUUUAAGUGGGGGAGAACUCAUCACAGUAGUUUUAUUGGAGUUUCAGGCGUCACUUUUGUAUUGCACUAUUGCAAAAGUUUGGCACACCCCUA